rnacentral:misc_RNA from 1 species
AGAGGUUAAUUGAAAAGAGAAUCAGGUUGAUGGUUUUUAGAGCUCCGAUUGGCUAGACUCCAUGGUUCUGGGGAAGCAAGGGAAGGAAAUCUAUAGUAGAGAAUAAGGGUGUGACAAAGAGAAAGGAAAGAGAAGGGUAGAGAGACGUGAUAUUUUCCCCCACUCGUUGUACAAGAUUGACCAAGAAAUUAAUGAGCACAUUGUAUGGAGAUAAUUAAUGUAGAAACUAUGCAAAGUCUAUCCCCUACUAUGGUAAGAC